CGUGAUCACUGUAACGCCCUGAGUGUUGCGGAUGUUUCGCAGAAGUUGACCGAACUUGAUUAUUUAGAGGAAGUAAAAGUCGUAACAAGGUUUCCGUAGGUGAACCUGCGGAAGGAUCAUUAAAGUUCUCCUUUCAAGUUAUAAACAAAAACACAAUAUAUAAAAUACUUAUAUUGUAAAAUUAUGGCAAAUGCCAAAAAGAAACAAAAUAACAAUAAUAAAAAUGUUUAUUAUUGUAUCGCCUCCUAGGCAAAAAAGUAUAGUAUAAAGUGUUUGUGUGUGUUACACAUUACACAAAAAUUGACUUAUUUAUAUAAAAUUUGUAAAAACUGAAAUUGUGUGGACGUUAUACAAAAUUAAUUUGUAUAGAAAAUGUCUAAAAAUUUGAAAUACAUAAAAUUAUAGUUGUACUUGUAUAAAAUUGAAAAGUAAUUUUUUAUAUAAGUCAAUCAUUGUUCGUUUUUUAAGAACUUGAGACAUUCGCAACAAAAAUUUUAUGUUUUAGUUAUAAAAGAGAAGAAUAAUAAGCAAAAAUUAUUGAAGGAAUUGAUAUAUGCCAAUUUGAAA
rnacentral:rRNA from 1 species